GGGGUUGUCGGCUAGCUUGGUCUAGGCUAUGAGCCUCGGGCGCUCGUGACCCCGGUUCAAAUCCGGGCAACCCCA
rnacentral:tRNA from 1 species